AUACGUAGGUGGCAAGCGUUGUCCGGAAUUAUUGGGCGUAAAGCGCGCGCAGGUGGUUCCUUAAGUCUGAUGUGAAAGCCCCCGGCUCAACCGGGGAGGGUCAUUGGAAACUGGGGAACUUGAGUGCAGAAGAGGAUAGUGGAAUUCCAAGUGUAGCGGUGAAAUGCGUAGAGAUUUGGAGGAACACCAGUGGCGAAGGCGACUGUCUGGUCUGUAACUGACCCUGAGGCGCGAAAGCGUGAGGAGCAAACAGGAUUAGAUACCCUGGUAGUCCACGCCGUAAACGAUGAGUGCUAAGUGUUGGGGGGUUUCCGCCCCUCAGUGCUGCAGCUAACGCAUUAAGCACUCCGCCUGGGGAGUACGGUCGCAAGGCUGAAACUCAAAUGAAUGGACGGGG
rnacentral:rRNA from 1 species